AAGUCGUAACAAGGUUUCCGUAGGUGAACCUGCGGAAGGAUCAUUAACACGUAUCCAACGUUAAACCCCCCGUGAACCUUCAGUGCGCUCGCACUUUCUUAGAAAAGGUAGCAAUCCCUGGUAAAUCAUUGCCGAACAGUUUUGAUUCAGGGACUUCUGCGUAGACUGUGCUUGAGCGUGAGGCAAGUGGCCUGGCAUUCCUCUGCUUGUUGGUGUCUGAAAGUGUAAACGGGCCUGCGCUUAAUUGUGCGGCCACCAAACUCGAACAACUGUUAACAAUGGAUAUCUUGGUUCUC
rnacentral:misc_RNA from 1 species